CUACACACUAUCCCUACACACUACCCCUCCGUUUGCGCGUUCCCGCGGAGGGUCCUCCAUAUUAAGGGCCGUCCCAAACCGCGUAGUGCGGAGGGGGAGUGGACUGUUCAGCCCUUAAAUAGCGAGUCUGCAUUGAUGCUCACUCCGGACAACUUUUUCAGGAAGUGCAACGUCGAAAUGGAGGAGGAAACAACAUAUCGAUGUUGCUGCCCAACAAGGAAAUGCAGAAUACAUUGAGAUCUCAGCUGACUGUUCAGCUUUGGUCAGAGUUACAGUCUCCACUGUGAACAGGAGGGUUUGGAAAUACAGCCCAAGUGUGCACACCUCUACCCAGAUUUUGGACCCAAUUUCCAUCCAACAUUUGAGGUUUUCCUGAAAACAAAUCCAGAUUUAGUGACUUUGAUCAUCCAAGACCAAGAGGAGACAGAAGUCUGGAAACGUAAUGUUCCUCUGAAAGGUAAAGGCUUCACCCUCCUGCAGCAGCAGAAACGACUUCUUCUGCUACAGGGAUGUUUUGUUGAAGGUCUUCUGAUGUUACUUUUAUUUCCUUCCUUUCCAUCCAAAACUCCUACCAGUUUGUUUCAGUGUGUUGUUAAUAGUUUGGAUUUCACUCUUUUGCAGAUGUGCACACAGUCAGCUGCAGACAUUACACAUGUGUGGUUGGUGCUGUUGUACUACUUCAUAGUCAGCUGGAGUCAGUGCGGGACUGUUCUAGACAUGCACAGUUGGUUAUCUACUUAUUCUGAGCAUGUGCACUAUUGCAGCAUAGUCAUGAAUUCUGGAAUAUCUAAGGCUGGUCUAAUAAGGAAGAAAACUGUCCAUGUGGAAACAUCAGAAAAAGCAGAUGAAAGUUUCUAUCUCUGUGGACUGAAGGGGCGUGUCUCUUAGUUUGAUUGACAGCAGCAGGAGGGCAUGUCCCUGUCAUAAAUUGACCUCUAUG